AUUUUCUUCUCCCUUUUUUACGAAGUUCAGAACUUUUGUUAUCUUUCUUCUCUGUCUUUUGUUGUUCCUUCUUAACUCCUUGUCUGCUUCAAGUCGUGCUGAGAAGAGACCUGCGAGAACUCCGAGUACCAGCCGUUCUUCCGGCAUAUAUGAUGCUGCGUAUUUAGAGAUGGUGAAGGCUAAGCAUCGUCCCCAGAGAUUUCAAGUCACUUUUGCCAGUCCGGAGGGUCAAGCCGGUGUUUUGACCAAGGAUAUUUCUGAGACUAACCCUUGUGGUCCCAACGAGAUAAUCGUGACAGUGGGACAUCUAGAUGCCGGGCUUCGUCUUCCUUUUUACUGUCCAUUGGAUUAUUUCCAGUACGAGGUACUCUGCCUGCUCGAUCCUCAGCGAGCCAUCUUACAGCCAAAUGAUAACUUUUAUCGGAUCGUCCGAGAAAGUGCUUGGCGAUAUAAAGGUAGGGUUACUAAUCAUGAAUUGAACAAGUUUGUUCCUUCUCAGAGGGAUUUUUAUUCUCCCACGAACUUCGUGGAGAAAUACUAGUGUCAGCAGUACGAUAAGUUUAAUGGCUUCGGGGUGGGCAUCUCCAGGUCUCGCCGAACUCUGAAAGGUUCCCUGUUUAUAUCCGAUUUAUAUCCUCCUAAUCCAACUAAUUUCACCCUUCGUAAGACACGCGACCCAAAGUGGUUCUUAGUUCCUCUUUGUAUUCUGGUUCCUUAUAUUUAUGGCUGGGAGGAGCUUGGAAACGUUCUUCUGGAGCUUCCCGAGAUGCAUAACAAUUUGCCGCCUUAUAGUUCAUGGGAGCUUAGGUGGGUCAUUCCUCUUAGGCGUCCAUCGCAAACCACCAGAGCUAUUGAGGAUGCUAAGAGGAUGAGGGUUGUUAAUGGUUCUGGCCCAUCUACUUUUCCUGUGGAGAUUGCAGAACAUGCUUCGGAUGUUGAUAUUGGUGCUCUUUUUGGUGAGAAUGAGAUGAUGGACCUUGGUAAAGGAUUUUUUGAUGAUCUUGAUCAAGCAUUGUUGCAUGAAUCCGUCAAUCUCGAUGGCACUGCUACCAUAUCGGAGGUGGGGAUGCCCCAGGAGAGUAAUCUCGCUGAUAAGGGUGUUCCCUCCCAUGGAGGUGCUUGGAUUGGAGUUAGUGGUGGUGGUGUUGUUAUACUGGUGUGUCAAGUGGUGUUAGUGUUGGUACUGGCGUACCAAGUGCUUUUAAUAGUGGUUUUCCUUCUGCUCCAGCAGUUCCUUCUAGUUCUUCUCGCACCGUUUUUGGUGGAGGAUCCGACGCGAUGGCAAUGUUAUGCUCGGCUGAGCGAGACGAGCAAGCUCGUAUCUUAACUUCCUUGAAUAAGUCCGCUCAUCAUCAGCUUGUGUAGGCGAGAGUAACAAACUGAGGGUUGGCGUGUUGUCCGAGACUCGUGUUGCUAGGAGGCGAGCCAGGGAUGUGGAGCGCGAGAACUAGCAUAUGCGUCUCGCUGUGGAGAUGGCUAAGAAGGAGGACUUGUCCUUUCGCCAUGAUAAGAAGGAAUUGGAAGAGACUCGUAAGAGCAACGCAAUAAUGGAGAGGCAGUUGGAGGAUGUGAAGGGAAAAAAGCAAAAUAUUGAUGAAGAGCUUAAUGAUUUGGUGACCCUCCAUGAGGAGGAAUUGGAGGCCGACCGAGCGACAAGAAGAAGAUGAUGAUCAAUCUUCAUGCUUAGUACAAGGUCAAGAUGACAAAUGCAUGUAAAGCCACCAUCUUGCGAGCGCCAAAGAGCCGCUGCUGCCAAUGUUGUAGUUCCUACUGAACCUGUGGAGUCCGAAUCCGAGCAAGUUGCUCCUGAUGUUGCCGAGGGAAAGGAUCAGAUGGAGACUGGGCAGGGUGCUCCUGGUGAGGAACAAUCGUGAUGCUCCUUUGUUUUGUUUUGGUGUUAAUUACUCUUUGGUCAUUUUUGUUACUAUGCCCUCGUGUUGUCGAGGAGAUGUAAAGUUGUUGGUAGUUUGUCCUCGUGCUCCUUCAGAGGAAAUAUUUAAAGGUGGUUCUCUUGACAGUGUUACUUGUCAAGUCCUCUACUUUUUGGAGGCGUUAUUUUACUAAUCAUUUUUUGUCAAGUCCUCAUAUUGGGAGGCAAUGGCGUUAUUUUA